rnacentral:rRNA from 1 species
UACGUAGGGUGCAAGCGUUGUCCGGAAUUACUGGGCGUAAAGGGUGCGUAGGCGGUCUGCUAAGUCGGACGUGAAAUCCCUCGGCUCAACCGAGGAACUGCGUCCGAUACUGGUGGGCUUGAAUCCGGGAGAGGGAUGUGGAAUUCCAGGUGUAGCGGUGAAAUGCGUAGAUAUCUGGAGGAACACCGGUGGCGAAGGCGGCAUCCUGGACCGGUAUUGACGCUGAGGCGCGAAAGCUAGGGUAGCAAACGGG